rnacentral:lncRNA from 1 species
AUGACAGGAAUCCUCAGUGGUUGUGAGGUCUGUUGGAAGCUAGGCAAGUGGGGUCCAUGUAUCCAUGGAAAGUCCAGGUUGGGAGAAAGUCCAUAUAAGGAGAAAGAACUUCUCUCCUCCCGUCAUGUGUCCCCAGGUUCAGUGGACUUCGGCCACCAACGUCAUCACCGCAACGUCAUAUGUCCUCAGGUUCAGUGGGCUUCGACCUCCAACAUCACAACCUCAACGUCAUGUGUCUCCAGGUUCACUGGACUUCGGCCACCAACAUCACAACCUCAACAUCAUGUGUCUCCAGGUUCAAUGGGCUUCGGUCACCAACAUCACAACCUCAACAUCAUGUGUCUCCAGGUUCACUGGACUUCGGCCACCAACAUCACAACCUCAACGUCAUGUGUCUCCAGGUUCACUGGACUUCGACCUCCAACAUCACAACCUCAACAUCAUGUGUCUCCAGGUUCAAUGGGCUUCGGUCACCAACAUCACAACCUCAACGUCAUGUGUCUCCAGGUUCACUGGACUUCGGCCACCAACAUCACAACCUCAACAUCAUGUGUCUCCAGGUUCAAUGGGCUUCGGUCACCAACAUCAUCACGACAACGUCAUAUGUCCUCAGGUUCAGUAGGCUUCGGUCACCAAUGUCAUCACCACAACGUCAUAUGUCCUCAGGUUCAGUGGGCUUCGACCUCCAACGUCACAACCUCAGUAUCAUGUGUUCCAAGUUCAGUGGGCUUUGUCCACCAAUGUCAACAACUCAACAUCAUGUGUCCCCAGUUUCAUGACCUCAACGUCAUGUGUCUCCAAGUUCAGUGGGCUUCAGCCACCAACGUCAUCAUCUCAACAUCAUGUGUUGCCGAAUUCAGUGAGUUCAGUCACCAAUGUCAUGACCUAUCUAUCAUGUGUUCCAGGUUCAGUAGGCUUUGGCCACCGUCAACAACUCAACAUCAUGUGUCCCCAGUUUCACGACCUCAACGUCAUGUGUCCCCAGGUUCAGUGGGCUUCAGCCACCAACAUCAUCACCUCAACAUGAUGUGUCCCCAGGUUCAUGACCUCAACGUCAUGUGCCUCCAGGUUCAGUGGGCUUCGGCCACCAACGUCACGACCUCAAUAUCAUGUGUCUCCAGGUUCAGUAGGCUUCAGCCACCAUCAUCAUCACCUCAGCGUCAUGUGUCCCCAGUUUCAUGA